UCCAUGUGAUCCCUAAAGCAGUUACAGGAGAAAGUCUGGGAGAUUAUUAACCCUAAGCUGGCAGAUGAAGAGAGGGGGUGAAAGGCUUUUCCAAAAUGACACCACAAGCAAAAGAUGGGCCACAUUUGGAGUGUUCUUCUGUGAUCCUGGAAAAUGCUGGACUGUGACUACCUUGACGAAGGAGGGGAACUGGAACUCUCCUGCAGACACCAGGCACUGAAUAAAUGCAUCAUGUUACCUGCUCAGCCAGAAUCUGCUGCUGCUGCUGUUGCUGCUGCUGCUGCUGCCUUUGCUCCCGCAGGAACUGUUGCUUCUGUUGCUCCAUCAGCUGGGCCCGCUGAUCCAUGAGCAUCUGCUUCAUGAUGGCUGCUUGGGGCUGGCUGCUGAGGAAGCCGGGUCCCGCGGCACUGGCUCCGGACACCAUGCCGCUCGAGCCUGGGGGCACCGAGGACUGCAUGGGGCCUGUGGUCCGGGGGAGUCCAACUGGGUGCUGUUCCUGGGAGGACAGGAAGAUGAGAGAAAGCACAGAUUUCAUAUUUGAAAGGAAGCAUGGGGCAGAGGCCUCUGCUUGUGGACCCAAGGGGUCCCCAGUGGCACACAGUCUAUUCCACAGAAACACAGGAAUCCUCAAAUCUGGCCUUACCGUGGUGGAACUGGAGGGGUGCAGGGGGACAGUAAUACAGGACGGCUCUGGGAUGUCUGAAAGCAAGUCCAGUCUCUUUUGGAUGGGACUGAUUAGAGGAUAAAGGCCAGGUAAUCAGUUAGCAUUCUACUUUCCUCCAAAGGAAAGGGAUGAAGACCUCCGGCUGGGCUACCUUGAGUUUGGAAUGAGAUAGCCUGACCUUACCUCUUUUUUUUUUUUUUUUUAAGAUUUUAUUUAUUUGACAGACACAGAUCAUAAGAAGGCAGAGCAGUAGGCAGACAGAGAGAGAGGGGUAAGCAGGAUCCCUGCUGAGCAGAGACCAAUGCAGGGCUCGAUCCCAGGACCCUGAGAUCAUGACCGGGGCCCAAGGCAGAGGCUUAAUGCACUGAGCCACCCAGGUGCCCCCUGACCUUACCUCCUAACCUUCACUGCCCACCUGGCCUAAAUGGACUUCUUCUAAGUUAGCAGGAAAGACAUUUACAGAAGAAUUCUGGAAUUUAUUAAUCAAAAGAUCUACUAUUCGAUGGAAUUCUAAUUAAUUGCAACACUAGAAAGCUUUGCUAUAUGUAAAAAAAAAAAAAAUCCUGCUAGUGGGAGUUGUUGAUGGUGAGAACUGGGAAUGUGUUACACUGAACAAAGCUACGCAAUCUCCCGACAUCUUUCAAAAUAGAACCAAACCUCCUAUGUCUGGGACAAUUUAAAAUGUGGGGGUUGAUUCGGGUCUUUUGAUUCUACAAUUGUCUCAGUCAAACGAUGGCAACUUGUAAGGAUUGGUACUUAAGGAGUAGGAAGUUAAGUGGUAGAAAACUACCCACAGAAUCUAGUGACUACUUCGAAGAUGUGUUCAGAGGGUAAGCCCAUAACAGCCAGACAGUGUAGACCAGGGAAAAAUAGCUGAUGGGCAGAGUUGGUAGGUGACCAUAAGAUUCAGCUUCUAGAUAGUUCCUUUCUUGUUCAUCUACCAAGUGCACCUGGUAAUGGCAUGUAUGGUCAGACUACUCUGCAGAAUUGUUCCUUUUAACUCAUUCAAGUUUCAAGUAAUCAAUCUCAACACAGAGGAUCUGAUGUCUGAGAUGAACACAAAUUAAACGGGCACACACGUAAGGACAUUCCCAGUCACAGGGUGUGGGAUCAUCAUGAGGCCAAAAUAGUAAGAAAUGAAUACGAAUAACUCUAGUUAUUUAAAUAUUUUUGUCUCCAAACUGGGUUUUAGAAUUUUUUCCUACUUCUGUUUUGCUCUUUGGUACAGAUAGAGUCAAUCAGGCUGGCACUGUCCUCUCAAAAUAUACAGUUGAGUUUGAUCUCUGACUCUCCUACAGACCCAGUCCUGGAUUGGAUUCCCCACAGCCUGGGCUGGUGGACCUUCCUUCUGUGGUGUGGUGCUCAGCCACUCGUGCUUCUCUUUCCAGUAGCGAGAUACGUUAACCACAUCUUCAGCUGCUCUUCCUCUCACCCUCCACUGACACAAACGACAAGCGAAACAAAAAACCAUUACUCCUCUCAGCCUGGGAACAAGAGGACAAGUAGUUCUGGGGAGUUAGUGCGGUAGCCCAGGUCACACUUAGCCAAAGGAAGAAUCGGAAAGAACAGAAUCAGAACACUGACCCGGGGUCUAAAUUUAGUAUUCCUUCCACUAGCACAGGCCCUUCCCAGACUGCAGGUCACUGGUGCCAAGUGUAUGCCCAAGAACUGCUUGCAGACUAAAUAUACAGUAUGUCUCCCAUAA